rnacentral:rRNA from 1 species
CAAUAGCGUAUAUUAAAGUUGUUGCAGUUAAAAAGCUCGUAGUUGGAUUUCUGGUGGGAGCGAUCGGUCUGGCGCUUAGCGCGAGUACUUGCAUCGUCUCCGGCCAUCCUUGGGGAGAGUAUGUCUGGCAUUAGGUUGUCGGGCAGAGGAUCCUCAUCGUUUACUGUGAAAAAAUUAGAGUGUUCAAAGCAGGCUUAUGCCGUUGAAUAUAUUAGCAUGGAAUAAUAAGAUAGGACUUUGGUACUAUUUUGUUGGUUUGCGCACCAAAGUAAUGAUUAAUAGGGACAGUUGGGGGUAUUCGUAUUCCGUUGUCAGAGGUGAAAUUCUUGGAUUUACGGAAGACGAACUACUGCGAAAGCAUUUACCAAGGAUGUUUUCAUUAA